UUCUAUAGUCCAAGAGUCGAUGUCUCUGAAAGUGAGAGUUUCAACAGCUUCCCAAUCACUGUGUACACCACAAAUGUCAAUGAUGGAAAACUCAAUCACACUUUAAUUCUGGAACCUGUCAGCAUCGCUCAACUGCGCUCUAUAACAAUCGAAGAGGGAAGCUGUGCUAUACCAGCAGGAAACUGUUUUGCUACAAGUAAAAUAGAAAACUGUCCGUGGACCAGCACCAACUCUACUGUGUGUAAAUGGGACUCAGGAAACAAGUACAAGAACUUCUUAGGACCAACUGAAGAUCACACAACAGACGGAAAUAGUAAGCAUUACACCUGUUA